rnacentral:rRNA from 1 species
CAGUCGCCACGGUAAUACGUAGGUGGCAAGCGUUGUCCGGAAUUAUUGGGCGUAAAGGGCUCGCAGGCGGUUUCUUAAGUCUGAUGUGAAAGCCCCCGGCUCAACCGGGGAGGGUCAUUGGAAACUGGGAAACUUGAGUGCAGAAGAGGAGAGUGGAAUUCCACGUGUAGCGGUGAAAUGCGUAGAGAUGUGGAGGAACACCAGCGGCGAAGGCGACUCUCUGGUCUGUAACUGACGCUGAGGAGCGAAAGCGUGGGGAGCGAACAGGAUUAGAUACCCCAGUAGUCCCUGUCUCUUAUAU